rnacentral:rRNA from 1 species
GACGAACGCUGGCGGCGUGCUUAACACAUGCAAGUCGAACGGAAAGGCCCUGCUUUUGUUGGGUGCUCGAGUGGCGAACGGGUGAGUAACACGUGAGUAACCUGCCCUUGACUUUGGGAUAACUUCAGGAAACUGGGGCUAAUACCGUAUAGGAGCUCCUGCUGCAUGGUGGUGGUUGGAAAGUUUCGGCGGUUGGUUAUGGGCUCGCGGCUUAUCAGCUUGUUGGUGGGGUAGUGGCUUACCAAGGCUUUGACGGGUAGCCGGCCUGAGAGGGUGACCGGCCACAUUGGGACUGAGAUACGGCCCAGACUCCUACGGGAGGCAGCAGUGGGGAAUAUUGCACAAUGGGCGGAAGCCGGAUGCAGCAACGCCGCGUGCGGGAUGACGGCCUUCGGGUUGUAAACCGCUUUCGCCUGUGACGAAGCGUGAGUGACGGUAAUGGGUAAAGAAGCACCGGCUAACUACGUG